rnacentral:rRNA from 1 species
UACAGAGGUCCCGAGCGUUGUUCGGAUUCACUGGGCGUAAAGGGUGCGUAGGCGGCAGGGUAAGUCUGAUGUGAAAUCCCGCAGCUUAACUGCGGAACUGCAUCGGAUACUAUCCAGCUAGAGGAGUGGAGGGGAGACUGGAAUUCUCGGUGUAGCAGUGAAAUGCGUAGAUAUCGAGAGGAACACCAGUGGCGAAGGCGAGUCUCUGGACACCUCCUGACGCUGAGGCACGAAAGCCAGGGGAGCAAACGGG